CCAAUAGCGUAUAUUAAAGUUGUUGCAGUUAAAAAGCUCGUAGUUGAAUUUCGGGAUCAAUUUAUCGGUCGUGCCUAUGGUAUGAACUGGUACAAUUGGUUUCUCCCUUCUGACGAAGCAUGAUGUCAUUAAUUUGGUGUCGUGGGGAAUCAGGACUGUUACUUUGAAAAAAUUAGAGUGUUUAAAGCAAGCAUUAGCUUGAAUACAUUAGCAUGGAAUAAUGAAAUAGGACGUUUGAUCCUAUUUCGUUGGUUUCUAGGGUCGACGUAAUGAUUAAUAGGGAUAGUUGGGGGCAUUAGUAUUCAAUUGUCAGAGGUGAAAUUCUUGGAUUUAUUGAAGACUAACUACUGCGAAAGCAUUUGCCAAGGAUGUUUUCAUUAAUCAAGAACGAAAGUUAGGGGAUCGAAGACGAUCAGAUACCGUCGUAGUCUUAACCAUAAACUAUGCCGACUAGGGAUCGGAUGAUGUUAAUUUUUUAAUGACUCAUUCGGCGCCUUACG
rnacentral:rRNA from 1 species